rnacentral:lncRNA from 1 species
GCAUUAAUCCAUCUCCAAAAGGUUAGAAGUUUUCUGGAGGGGGAGCUGUGCAACGUGUCAGGAGGGAAGGCAAAGAACGAGUAUGAGGAGACCGUGGAGAAGAUGCAGAGGCUCCAGCAGGAAAUAAAAAAAGAAAAGGAAGAGAAAAAAUGGGACUCAGGAAAGAGAAGAAGCAACUGAAGAAGAAGAUAGAGCAACGGAGCAGCGGAUAGAGCAACUGGAGAAGAGGGCGGAGCACUUAGAUAAUAAAAAUAACCGCGCUAGUGACAGAUUGGGACCUGGCAGAGUCAUGGACCCACCGCUUUCUGCUCGUUAUGUCAGAAAUGACAACAUGGAUUCAGCCAACAAUAUCUCCCAGGUUCCUCUCCAAGAAGAAAGUUUGAUUCAUCAGAUGAACAUUAAUCAGGUAAUAGAGAUACAGACCAGCAGUGACAUGGUGGAGAUAAAAACCAAACUCUUGAAAUGGUAUGCUAAAAUGAAUGAUCUAUAGUUUGUCACACUGCAAAGCCACCUCUCCAGAUGUGGCACAGGGAGCCCUAAUGGCCCAUCAUCCUUGCUGAGAUGUCCCAAGACCUUUGGAGUGAACUGUUGUCCGUGUGGCCCCACGUAUGGACACCCCAGCCCAUUAUUGCAAGGCACGACCACAGAACUCAUACUUGAAGUAGAACGUGACAUUUAUGGUUUGUAUUAAUGCUUUUAUUGAUGUUGGUCAUUUGGUGUUCUUCAGGAACAACUGGAAGCUCUUUUCCUGUGAAUCCACUCCAGUGUUUAUCCGUCAAACGUGCCUUCAGGUGUGUGUAACCUGCAUUUUGGGCAGAGUUCAGGAGACAUCAAUAGUUACAGGGAGGCCCUCAAAGUCAACAGCACCAAGAGCUGGUGGGACAAACACAAGAGUGCAUUGUAAACUCCGUCCUGGGACCAACAUCAGUCCCCCCAGCAGAUCCAGAGAUUUUUCCCAAUUCACUUCUACGUGAUGAUGUGCUGCAAUCCUUUUUUGACAAAUAAAAUGUGUUUUAAUUGUGAAAAGAAAGGGCUUGUGUAUAAUGGAUAAGAAUUUGAUA